AUCCAUUGCCUCCGGCUCUCGGCGGGGCCGCUGGCGACCCGCAGGCUCCGCAGUCUGACCUCUUAGGCGCCGGCCCGAGGUCGCCAGAUCAAAUCGCCGAUAAAAGCCCGGCGCCCACGUCAGGGGGCUCUGACAACCGCCCCACCUGCGCGCCCCAUCUCUUCAGGUCCAGCGCCGCCUACCCCCAUUUCGCCAUUUUUACCGGCGCGCCCGCCCCGAGGCGCAGAAGUAGGGCGAACGGUGGCCGCAGCUCCUUUCUCCCGGCUCAGCCGCCGGCCAGCAGCCGCGCCGGAACCUCGGCCCACGUGACGCGGGCGCGCGCCUAUGGAACUGACGGUGGAGUUCAGCGAAGAAGGUGCCGCAGAGAAUUCGCAAACACCAACCGUAACCAGAGCAGCUGGGGGCGCGGCGGCGAGAGAAGCUGCGAAGCGCAUGCGCGCAGGACGCUGUGGGAGGGGAAAGGAGGGGAGGAGCGUGGAGCGAUCGCCUAGUUCCCGCGUUGCGGGGCGCAUACGAGACUUGGCGACUCGCUGCCUCAGGGUUGCGUGCCUCCGGCCCUAGCCUGCGCAGGCGGCCUGAGCUUGGGGCUCUGCUACGCCACCCACGCCCACCUUGGCGGAGGGCGGGGCCCCACGGCUCUCAAACUUGCGCGCCAAAGACGGAGCCACCUGGCGUACUGGUGGAAAGCGCAGACUUCAGAGCCACACCCGUAGUUAAGUAUUCGGACUCUGAGAUUCCAGGGUGGGGCCCAGGCCAUCCGCGUUUUCACCCAGCAUCGUGUGAUUCGGCAGCAGGUGGUCUGUGGCCCGCACUUUGAGAAACCCUGGUGCAGAAGGUUCAUGGUUAGUGGUUCUCUCUGGAAGGAACAGUCUAAGGUUUGUAGGACUUGCGUUCCACCUACCAAAGCUAAUCGAGUUAGAAGGCUCCAAACUGAGGUGUCAUUUCUCAUUACGGUGGUGAGAGGACGGGACCACACACUGUGAAGUCUUCGUUCCCACAUCCCACACUUCAUUCUUGCCGCCUAAGUUGUCGCCGUGGGACUAUUGAAAGGGUAUCAGCGAUAUUCAUCUUUCCUAUAAAUGGGAUCUGCUUUCUACAGUUUCCUGCCAGAUGUGUAAAGAUUGCAAGAAUUGAAGGUAUUUCUUCAACUGAAGACCUUUACAGAUACUCAGAUGACUGAAAUCCUCUUAUCACUGGCUGGACAUGGUGGCUCACGCCUGUAAUCCCAGCACUUUGGGAGGCUGAGGCAGAUUCAUCAUCUGAGGUCAGGAGUUCGAGACCACCCUGGCCAACAUGGUGAAACCCUGUGUCUACUAAAACCACAAAAAAUUAGCUGGGCAUUGUGGCAGGCGCUUGUAAUCCCAGCUAUUCCGGAGGCUGAGGCAGGAGAAUCACUUGAACCCAGGAGGUGGAGGUUGCAGUGAGCCGAGAUGGUGCCAUUGCACUCCAGCCUGGGCAGCAAGAGUGAAACUCCAUCUCAAAAAAGAAAAAAAAUCCUCUAUUACUAUAUAACUACUUUUAUGUACCAAUUUGUAGUCUCAAAAAUAUACCAUCAAUUUAUUAUAUCCAGUGGGGGAAAUUUGUAAAUAUUCAAAAUACCAUUUUUCCCUUUGCCCUCUCACCCAAGUUUAUUCUGUGCUUCAAUAAAUUUAUGGUUCUAUACAGAUAUGUUGUCAUGUACAUCUGGAACUAUACUUAAUCAGCUAUUUGUUUUCCAAGAACAAGGUUAUGUGCUCUAUUGUCAGGCACAUAUAAUGAAGAAUGUGUGAUUUGAGAUGAUUUAUAAAAGCUUAUCAUAUACAUACUUUUUUUUGCAUUUAAUUUACUAGCAUGUGACACAACCCUGUUUUAAAUUCUGUCUCCCCAUUACCUCUAUUCCCUGUUCAAUUGCCCUUCCUUCCUCCAUCAUUCAUCUCCUUGUGAUAUAACAGAUACAUCUAAGGUAUCAUUUUAUCGUUCUAAGCAGAUAUUAUUCUAUUUUUUCCCCUCCAUUUGCAAUAUAAAGUAUUCUUGAUCAAACUGACCUGGGUAAUUAACCUUUCUGAUUUACUCUAGCUACAAGCCCAUAAUUCAAAGUAUCUUAAGCCAAAAUUUAGUGUAGAGUUGGCAAAUAAAUAUCACAUAUGCAGCCCUUCCUCCUUCCCAUGCUCGUGGCAGACUACGCUAUUUUCUGCCAUGUCCAGACACAGCUCCUUGAUACAGCACUCUAAGCCACCCUUUUCUAGACAUCUCAGUCUCACUAGUACUUACAGGAACCAGCUAAGCUGCUAGAUUUUAUAAGUAUUACCAAGUUUUCUGCCAUGGUUACAUAAUUCAAGACAGCACAAUUCUUUAUUAACCAUGUCAAGUCCAAAUGCUUAUUUUUAAAUAAACAGAAAUAAGAGCUAUUAUACUUCAGGGUAUCAGGAAAAUCUUUCAAUAGUUCAAACUGACUGCUGAGUUUCAAAAUUUAAGUUACAUCAGGUUUAUUUUUCAAAGCAACACUCAGAGCUAAAGCUAAACAAAUCUAACCUGUCAACUGAAAGCAUUACCUCCAGGUCUGUUUGCUUCUGUAGUUUUUGUAUCAUAUUCAUAGUCUUUUUCACAGUAGCACAAAUGCGGCUCUUACUCUCUUUCUGCUCAACAGCAACUGGUUUAAAGCGGGCAUACAAAGUUUGAUAUCGAGACUUUAUCACUGACAAUUCCUUUAAGAGUGUAACUGGAUUUUUCUAUGUCAGGAAAAAAGUGAACAUGUAUUAAAUUAUGAAAGAUUAAACUUUUUAAGAAUUAAAAUACUGUAUACAUACAACACAUUCUACCAUCCAUUUAAUUGAACACUGUUGAGUAUUUAAUUAUGCAGCCACAUGACAUCAGAUGGGAGGUGGGGAAGAGAGAAAAGUAUAAGACCUAGAUCCUAUUCUCAAGGAAUUUAUAGCCUAGGUACAGAAAUAACCCACCAAAAAAAUUAGCAAUAUUAAACAGCAAAUAAGGGUCACCUUAGAUAUAUAACAUUUGAUGGAUAGUUCACAAUAAUAAAUUAUACAAUAUUUCUAAAAUACAAUUCUAAAUGCUAUUCAGAAGAAGAUAAAAGGCACUAUUAGUAUUUGUUCUUAAAGAAUAAGAACUUGAAACUACUUAUAAAAAUCUUUUUUUUUUUUUUGAGAUGGAGUCUCACUCUGUUGCCCAGGCUGGAGUGCAGUGGCGCAAUCUCAGCUCACUGCAAGCUUCACCUCCCAGGUUCAUGCCAUUCUCCUGCCUCAGCCUCCGGAGUAGCUGGGACUACAGGCGCCCGCCACCACGCCCAGCUAAUUUUUUGUAUUUUUAGUAGAGAAGGGGUUUCACCGUGUUAGCAAGGAUGGUCUCAAUCUCCUGACCUUGUGAUCCGCCCGCCUCAACCUCCCAAAGUGCUGGGAUUACAGGUGUGAGCCACUGCGCCCGGCCAAAAUUCGUAAACAUACUAUCAUGGGGAUAAAGUAUGUAUAAAUAUCAAUUUACUUAUAUACACACAAAAUAUAAAAUUCAUGCCAACCCAACUGUAUUUAUAAACUAUGCUGGUUUUCCAGAUUUAUUUUGUAAUAUACAUUACCACUAUUCCAUAAAAGACAUUUCAAUUGGACCCCUUCUGCCACUUGGUAAUUCUUUUCUUUAAUUUUUUUUUUAAAUAGAUACAGGAAUCUCACUGUGUUGCCCAGGCUGGUCUUAAACUCCUGGCCUCAAGUGAUCCUCCUGCAUCAGCCUCCCAAAGUGCUAGAAUUACAGGUGUGAGCCACUGUAUCCUGCCAGAUUUCUUUUUUUAUGAUUAGGUAAGAUUCAUAUAUUUUCAGGCCCCACCAAGUGACAGCACAAUUAAUAAAAAGAUCUAUACCAUAACUGUAAAUUUUCGCAGGAUAGAAAAAAUAUUCUGAAACUUCCAGGUGAUAGGUAAGGGACUGGGGUAGGCUGAGGAGGAAAGCACAGACAAAGGAUCAGGAAUGAGAAUGGCAUCCAUUUUUCAACAGCAACAAUAGAAGCUAGAAAACCACGAAGUAAUGAUGUUAAAAUUAAGAGAAAAUCUCCAAUCUAGAAUCCUAUAUUCAACCAAACCACUCAUCAAACAAAGGGUUAGGCCGGGCGCAGUGGCUCACGCCUGUAAUCCCAGCACUUUGGGAGGCCGAGGCGGGCAGAUCAUGAGGUCAGGAAAUCGAGACCAUCCUGGCUAACACGGUGAAACCCCGUCUCUACGAAAAAUACAAAAAAUUAGCUGGGCAUUGUGGCGGGCACCUGUAGUCCCAGCUACUCAAGAGGCUGAGGCAGGAGAAUCGCUUGAACCCGGGAGGCAGAGGUUGCUGUGAGCCGAGAUCGUGCCACUGCACUCCAGCCUGGGCGACUGAGGGAGACUCCGUCUCAAAAAAAAAAAAAAAAGAAAAAGGGUUAAAGGGUACAAUAAAGACUUUUUCAAACAUUCAGCAUCUCAAAAAGUUAACUUUCUGUGUAAUCUUCCUCAGGAAGCGUCUAAAUGAUAUACUUCCAGAUCAAAGAAAUAAACCACCAAAGAGUGAAACAUAUGAUACAACACAGGAAUAAAACAAAGGGAAGUACCAAAAUAAUGGUAAAGAAAUCCCAGAAAUGCCGGGCGCAGUGGCUCAUGACUGUAAUCUCAACACUUUGGGAAGCCGAGACGGGUGGAUCACCUGAGGUCAGGAGUUCGAGACCAGCCUGGCCAACAUAGCGAAACCCCGUCUCUACUAAAAAUACAAAAAUUAGCCGGGCAUUGUGGUGGGCGCCUGUAGUCCUUGCCUCAGUAGGCUGAGGCAGGAGAAUCACUUGAGCCUGGGAGGCAGAGGUGGCAGUGAGCCAAGAUGGCACCAUUGCAUUCCAGCCUGGGUGACAAGAGCAAAACUCCCUCUCAAAAAAAAAAAAAGGUCGGGCGCGGUGGCUCACGCCUGUAAUCCCAGCACUUUGGGAGGCCGAGGCGGGCGGAUUGCCUGAACUCAGGAGUUCGAGACCAGCCUGGCCAACAUGGUGAAACACCGUCUCUACGAAAAUACAAAAAAAAAAAAAAAAAAAAAAAAAAAAAUUAGCCAGGCGUGUCGGCAUGCGCCUGUAGUCCCAGCUACUCGGGAGGCUGAGGUGGGAGAAUUGCUUGAACCUGGGAGGCAGAGGUUGUAGUGAUCCAAGAUCACGCCACUGCACUCCAGCCUAACCACAGAGUGCGACUCCAUCUGAAAAAAAAAAAAAAUCCCAGAAAGACAGCAAUUCAAGAAGCCUAUAGAGCAGGAGGUCAGAUGGGAGCAGGAUAGAGACACCAGAAAGGAUAGGAUGUUUCCAUGGGAGAAAAUAAAACUUAAAGAACAUGUAGUGUGUCUGACAAUAUUGAGAAGAGUUUUACAGUUGUUAGAAAUGUCUGAGGCUGAAUUAGUGAAAAGUAUAUAGAAAAACUAAGCAGGCUGGGCCAUGGUGGCUCAUGCUUGUAAUUCUAGCACUUUGGGAUGCCAAGGCGGGAGGAUCGCUUGAGGUCAGGAGUUCAGUACCAGCCUGGGCAACAUAGCGUGAAACCUCAUCUCUACAAAAAAUAAUUCAAAGGCUGGGUGCAGUGACUCACGCCUGCAAGUCCCAGCACUUUGGGAGACCAAGAGGGGCAGAUCACUUGAGGUCAGGAGUUCCAGAACAGCAUGGCCAACAUGGCGAAACCUCAUCUCUACUAAUAAUACAAAAAUUAGCCGGGCGUGGUAGCACACGCCUGUAGUCCCAGCUACUCAGGAGGCUGAGGUGGGAGGAUCACUUGAGCCUGGGAGGCAGAGGUUGCAGUGAACCAAGAUGGUACCACUGCACUCCAGCCUGGGCGACAGAGCAAGACUCCAUCUCAAAAAAUAAUAACUAUUAUUAUUUUUUAAAUUAGCCAGGUGUGCUGGCACAUGCCUAUGGUGCUAGCUACUCGGGCGGCUAAGCAGGGAGGAUCACUUGGGCCUGGGAGGCAGAUACUGCCGUAAGCCAUGGUCACAGAGUAGCUGGGACUACAGGUGUGUGCCACCACACCCAGCUAAUUUUUGUAGUUUUAGUAGAGAUGAGGUUUCGCCAUGUUGGCCAGGCUGGUCUAGAACUCCUGACCUCAGGUGAUCUGCCUACCUCGGCCUCCCAAAGCGCUGGGAUUACAGGCGUGAACCACUGCGCCCAACCUUUAAAUUAUUUUUUGUAGAGAUGGGGCUUCCCUAUGUUGGCCAGGCUGGUCUCAAACUCCUGCACUCCAGCCUGGGCGGCAGAGCAAAACCUUGUCUCAAAAAAAAAAAAAAAAAAGAAAAGAAAAGAAAAGAAAAACUAAGCAAAUGGAAGGAAAAAAAAGAAAACAAUUAUUAGCUCUAGAAAAAUAAGUUGUGAAGAAAGGAAAGCAGACACAGUAUUCAAUAGGGCUUAUAUAAAAGAGUUACAGAAAUUGUGAAGACAGGAAUAAAUAUGGGUAGUAAAGUAUUUAAACUUUAUCUUCCAUAGUACAAAAUUCUUUUUUUUUUUUUUUUUUUUUUAAGAGUUAGAAUUGGCUGGGUGUGAUGGCUAAUGCCUGUAAUCCCAGCACUUUGGGAAGCUGAAGCGGGUGGAUCAUGAGGUCAGGAGUGUGAGACCAGCCUGGCCAACACGGUGAAGCCCUGAAUCUACUAAAAAUACAAAAAUUAGCUGGGCAGGGUGGCAUGUGCCUGUAAUCCCAGCUACUCAGGAGGCUGAGGCAGGAGAAUCGCUUGAACCUGGGAGGCGGAGGUUGCAGUGAGCCAAGAUCAUGUCACUGCACUCCAGCCUGGGCAACAGAGCAAGACUCUGUCUCAGGAAAAAAAAAAAAAAAAGUUAGAAUCUUACUCUGUCACCUAGGCUGGAGUGCAGUGGUGCAAUCAUAGCUCACUUGAACUACUGGGCUCAAGUGAUCCUCCCACCUCAGCAUCCCAAGUAGCUGGGACUACAAGUGUGAGCUACUACAUCAGGCCUAUAGUAGGAAAUUAUUAUUAAUGAUAACAGCUAAUGUAUAGCACUUACUCUGGACUAAACAGUUAUAUAUGUUAACUAAUUUUAUUUUCUCUCAAUCUCUGAGGUACAUAGUAAUAUUCCCAUUUUACAGAUGAGGAAAUUAAAGUACAGAAAGGUUAACUGACUUGGCUAAAAUCACAGUGCUAAUAAGAGGCAGAGCCAGGAUGUGAAGUAUAACAGUUCGUAUCCAGGAAAUUAGUAGAUGUUUCAGAUCAGGAAAAAUAAAGAUGCAGUACAAGGAAAACUAUUUAGAAAUAUAAAGGAAAUACCAUAAGACACUGAGAUGAGUGGUAUCCUUCUUGAGGGUGGGAGUGUGAAGCAUUAUUCUUUGUAAUUAUAAGCUUUAUAUUUCUGCAACUCUUCAAAUAUAUUCAAGAAUUUGACAAAAAUAAAAGUUUAGGCCGGGGUGGUGACUCACAUCUAUAAUCCCAACACUUUGGGAGGCUGAGACAGGAGGAUCACUUGAGCCCAGGCAAGACCAGCCUAGUAAACAUGGCAAAACCCCAUCCUUACUAAAAUACAAAAAAUUAGAACCAGGUGUGGUGGCACACACCUGUAUUUCCACCUACGCAGGAGACUGAGGUGGGAGGAUCACCUGAGCCCAGGAGGUCAAAGCUGCAGUGAGCCAUGAUCAUGCCACUGCACUCCAGUCUGGACAACAGAGUGAGACUCUGUCUGGGGAAAAAAAAAAAAGUUUAACAUUGGGAGGGAAAUUGGUAGGAGGGAAGAAGUCAUCUUCCUCAUGAGGUGAUAAUAAAUUAUGUAACUUAAUUAUAAAUGAUCUUUAGGUAACUGGAAUGUAGCUCAGUAGUGAAAUACCCAGAGAUCUGCAUGUAUUAAUAUAACUCAGGAGAAUGAUGAGUUCCCCAAAUACAGAUUCAUACAGGAAAAAAUAAAAGUGACAAGAACUAAUCCUUGAGGAUCUCACAAAACUAGGAAAGGAAAGUUGGUAUAUAAAGCAUAAGAAAUAAAUGGCCAUAGAGCUAAAAGAGAGGACAGGGUAGUUGGGCAGCUACCCAUAAUACAUGUUUUUAUGACAUUAGCUCGAUCAAUAAGACUGACAUGGCAGUGAGUAAUUUAGGACAACAUGAUUUGCAUUUAUGGCCUGUUUAUGACAGGUUAGGACUGUGGUUAGGACUUAGCACCAUACCACAAAGGAAAAACUGUUGUGCGCAUAGCCUGUUUUAUUUGAGUAACUGGCUGUUGGGAACCACUACAUUCUUUUUUUUUUUUUUUUGAGAUGGAGUUUCGCUCUUGUUUCCCAGGCUGGAGUGCAAUGGCGGGAUCUCAGCUCACCGCAACUUUCGCCUCCCAGGUUCAAGCAAUUCUCCUGCCUCAGCCUCUCAAGUAGCUGGGAUUACAGGCAUGCGCCACUACGCCUGGCUAAUUUUGUAUUUUUUUUUUUUUUUUUUUUUUAGUAGAGAUGGGGUUUCUCCAUGUUGGUCAGGCUGGUCUUGAACUCCUGGCCCUCAGGUGAUCCACCCGCCUUGGCCUCCCAAAGUGCUGGGAUUACAGGUAUGAGCCACCGCGCCCGGCCAGGAGCCUCUACGAUUCUUUUAUUAGUGUUUGUAAACUGUGCUGCACUUUAGUUAAUUUUGUGCCUAUAAUACUUCAAUUCAUUUUAGGGUUUUAGUUAUCAUGAGUGGAUGAUAAAAGGUUACAAGAAUGGCUGAGCGAGGUGGCUCACGCCUGUAAUCUCAGCUUUGGGAGGCCAAGACUGGUGGAUCACCUGAGGUCAGGAGUUCAAGACCAGCCUGACCAACAUGGUGAAACCCCGUCUCUAAUAAAAAUACAAAAAUUAGCCAGGAUAGUAGCGGGUACCUGUAAUCCCAGCUACUCGGGAGGGUGAGGCAGGAGAAUCACUUGAACCCAGUGAGCCGAGAUCAUGCCAUUGCAUUCCAGCCUGGGCGACAGGGUGAGACUCCGUCUCCAAAAAAAAAAAAAAAAUGAUUACAAAAAUACAUAAAAAUACUCUGCUAAUGAUAGUGCUGGUGAUGGGAGAAAAGAAAAGCCAAUAUAUGAACAAAAAGCUCAGUUCAAUUAAGUCUUUUGAAAGAAACAAAAGGAAAUGAAUUAUACUACUAAGCUUAAAAGAAUCUAUAGGGAAAAUGUUCAUAAAAUAAAAUUAUGUUUCUCUGCCGGGCGUGGUGGCUCACGCCUGUAAUCCCAGCACUUUGGGAGGCAGAGGAGGGCGGAUCACGAGGUC
rnacentral:lncRNA from 1 species